rnacentral:rRNA from 1 species
AACCAAAAAUAGCUCAAAAAUAACAUAAUUAAAUCAAUAAUACAACUUUAAAUAAAACAUUAAAUUUAACUAAAGUAUAGGUGAUAGAAAUUUUAUCUGACGCUAUAGAAAAAGUACCGCAAGGGAAAAAAUGAAAGAAAAUGUAAGUAAAAAAUAGCAAAGUUUAAUACUUGUACCUUUUGCAUAAUGACUCAGCUAGAAAAUAUUAGCAAAAUGAACUGAAGUUAAGUGACCCGAAACCAGACGAGCUACCUACUUGGCAGCACACAGAGCUAAACCCGUCUAUGUGGCAAAAUAGUGGGGUGACUAUUAGGUAGUGGUGACAAGCCUAUCGAGCCUGGUGAUAGCUGGUUGUCCAGAACGGAAUUUUAGUUCCAAUUUAAGACUGCAAAAAAAAAUAAACGAAUUGAAAUGCAGACUUAAAGAAUAGUCUAAAAGGGUACAGCCUUUUAGACCGGGGAAACAACCCUUAUUAGAGAGUAAGAAAUUUAUCAAACCACAAUAGUUGGCCUAAAAGCAGCCACCAAAUAAGAAAGCGUUCAAGCCCAACCGCACUUAAAACUAAUUCCAACAACAAACUCAAUACCCCUAACAUAAAACUGGACUAUUCUAUUUACAAAUAGGAGCAACAAUGUUGAUAUGAGUAACAAGAAAUAAUUCUCCUCGCACAUGUGUAUACCAGGACGAAUAACUCGCUGGUAGUUAUCAAAACAAAUACAACUAGUCAACUAAAUUAUUAUUAUUGAUUGUUAGUCCAACACAGGAGUGCAGUCAGGGAAAGAUCUAAAAAAGUAAAAGGAACUCGGCAAACACAAAUCCCGCCUGUUUACCAAAAACAUCACCUCUAGCAUAAAAAGUAUUAGAGGCACCGCCUGCCCAGUGACCUUAGUUUAACGGCCGCGGUAUUCUGACCGUGCAAAGGUAGCAUAAUCACUUGUUCUCUAAAUAGGGACUCGUAUGAACGGCUCCACGAGGAUUUUACUGUCUCUUACUUUAAAUCAGUGAAAUUGACACCCCCGUGAAGAGGCGGGGAUUGAAAAACAAGACGAGAAGACCCUAUGGAGCUUUAAUUAACCAGCCUAUGAACCAUAAAGCUUAUCUAAAAGAAAUAACUAUACUUCAACUAGACUGGCAAUUUGGGUUGGGGUGACCUCGGAAUAAAAAUCAACUCCCGAGAAAAUUUUAUUAAGACCCACGAGUCAAAAUUAUUCUACUAUACAUUGAUCCGCAACACAGCGACCAACGGAACAAGUUACCCUAGGGAUAACAGCGCAAUCCUAUUUAAGAGUUCAUAUCGACAAUUAGGGUUUACGACCUCGAUGUUGGAUCAGGACAUCCCAAUGGUGCAGCAGCUAUUAAUGUGUUCGUUUGUUCAACGAUUAAAGUCCUACGUGAUCUGAGUUCAGACCGGAGUAAUCCAGGUCGGUUUCUAUCUAUUCAUAGGCCCCUCCCAGUACGAAAGGAUAAGAGAGUCAGGGCCCACUUGAACCCAAGCGCCCUAAUAAAAAUAAUGAAUUAAUCUUAAUUUUAUUAUAAUAGUCUAUGCCCGAAACAAGGGCCU